CGGGACGGGUGAGUAAUGUCUGGGAAACGUACUCGAUGAGGGGGGGUAACUAACUGAAGGAGCUAAUACCGCAUAACGUCGCAAGACCAAAGAGGGGGACCUUCGGGCCUCUUGCCAUCGGAUGUGCCCAGAUGGGAUUAGCUAGUAGGUGGGGUAACGGCUCACCUAGGCGACGAUCCCUAGCUGGUCUGAGAGGAUGACCAGCCACACUGGAACUGAGACACGGUCCAG
rnacentral:rRNA from 1 species